GACGAACGCUGGCGGCGUGCUUAACACAUGCAAGUCGAACGGAAAGGCCUCUUUCGGGGGGUACUCGAGUGGCGAACGGGUGAGUAACACGUGAGUAACCUGCCCUUGACUUUGGUAUAACUUCAGGAAACUGGGGCUAAUACCGGAUAGGAGCUCCUGCUGCAUGGUGGGGGUUGGAAAGUUUCGGCGGUUGGGGAUGGACUCGCGGCUUAUCAGCUUGUUGGUGGGGUAGUGGCUUACCAAGGCUUUGACGGGUAGCCGGCCUGAGAGGGUGACCGGCCACAUUGGGACUGCGAUACGGCCCAGACUCCUACGGGAGGCAGCAGGGGGGAAUAUUGCACAAUGGGUGGAAGCCUGAUGCAGUAACGCCGUGUGCGGGAGGACGGCCUUCGGGUUGUAAACCGCUUUCGCUCAUGACGAAGCUUUGUGUGACGGUAGUGGGUAAAGAAGCACCGGCUAACUACGUG
rnacentral:rRNA from 1 species